UACGUAGGGGGCAAGCGUUGUCCGGAUUUACUGGGCGUAAAGCGCGUGUAGGCGGCUACGCAGGUCCGUUGUGAAAACUAGAGGCUCAACCUCUAGACGUCGACGGAAACCGUGUGGCUAGAGUCCGGAAGAGGAGAGUGGAAUUCCUGGUGUAGCGGUGAAAUGCGCAGAUAUCAGGAAGAACACCAAUGGCGAAGGCAGCUCUCUGGGACGGUACUGACGCUGAGACGCGAAAGCGUGGGGAGCGAACAGG
rnacentral:rRNA from 1 species